AGUAAUAAAAAAACAUGAUCCUGAUAGUAAAAGUACUAAUAAAUUUAGUUUUAAUAAAACAUAUAAAAACAAGAAAUGGAACAAUAAACAACCAAAUAUAGUAUUAGAAGUGUAGUCGAAAAUCGUCGAUAGCUUCAAAAAGAAAAAAAUCCCUCCAAUAAAUGUAAUAAAAAACGAGAAGUUAAAAAUAAGAAAAUCGUGCCAAAGUAUCAAAAGUGUAGUGAAGAAUGGAAUACUUCCAGCCCCCGGAAGCGUUUAAUAUACAGGAGCCACAUGGAUGGCCAAAAUGGGAACAAAGAUUUGAAAUAUUUUUGUUAGCUUCUGGAAAAAGCACUGCAGACGAGAAGAUAAAAGUAGCUCUACUGUUGAAUAUUUUUGGGAAAGCAUCCUAGGAUAUUUAUAAUACAUUAGAAACAACAAAACUAGAUUAUUAAUAAUUAAGGUUCACACCAGCAAUGAAAAUUUAGUGGUCCAAAAGGACCACCUAAGUUAUGAUUUAGUGGUCCAAAAAUAUAAUGUGGUAGACAAAAGUAAAAAAAUUAACAUAUGCAUGCUGCACACACUUUUAUACAUAUUUUUACAGCAUAUAUAAAUUCUUUUAUGCAAAAACGGCACAGUAAAUAUAAAACAUUUUUUUUUAAAUAUUUUGGGCGACAAAUUUGUCGUCGAUGUGUAUGAUUUUGUCGACAUUUCUUGAUGAUUUGGCGACAAUUGUCGCUAUGUCGCCAUGCUGGCGAGAACCCUAUUUAUAAUCUUGUUUUCAUGAACAUUUCUUAACCAAAAGAAAUGUGAGUAUGGAAUAGACUUACAGAAGUUAGGGAUAGCGAACUAGCGCAAUGCAGAGAUGGAGAAAAGCGUAGAGAAACUUCAAGCUAUGGGCCAAUAAAGUCUGCUGUGCUAUCUCGAUUUGGUGUUCCGUCCUUUUGUCCGACUCUGUAUACUAGUACGACGUUCCUUCUGUAGAACUUGGCCGCUCUUUCAAGCUUUGAGGAGCUUUUUAUAGGGGAGGUUUCAGUCUCCAUCUUUUUACACGUCCAGCUUGUUUACCAGCCAUUUUUUUCAAUUCCUCACCCCUAUUCUUAUACAAAUCCGUUUCCGCCUCAUCCCACUGUCUCGUCUUCAGUUUUCCUCUCCAUUCUCCAUGUAAUCACAUCCAUGUUUCUCUUGUUUAUCAUCUUUACACAUUCUCUCCCUUCAACUACUUCCAUUGAGACCAAUUUUGGCAUAUUUUUUCACUUUUAAGCAUCACUUUAACAUUUUUUUGAGAAUUUAAGAAACAUCAAAAUUGACUUUAGCUUUGCCAUAUUUUAUAUUGAAUUCAUACUGUAUUUAAAAAAAUCUUUUGGGGUGUCAGAAAUCAUACAACAAUUAUGUACAUACUCAUUUUAUUUUUUAUUUUUCUUUGAUACAGAAAAAACAGCAUCUAAUGCAGCUGGAUUUUUGUAAACACAUAAAUCCAUGAACGUUAUCACUAGCAUCAAAGCUUGUCCUAACAAUUCUUUAUUGACUGGUGUUUGAGAAUCAAAUGCAGCUUUCAGUUGCUGUUCUACCAUAAUUUUUGUACAAGGUAGAGAUGCUUCACUGGUUUCUACAUUAUCGUUUAAUAAUUCAUUUAUUGUAGUUACAGCAGCCACUUUUUCUUGUCCCACUAAUGUACUGAACAAUCUACAACAGAACAAAAUAAAUAUAUUAAUUCAAAAUUAAAAAAACCUUUAAAAGGGCUGAAUUGGAAAUAUUUGCCAAUUGGUGCAUAUUUCGAGAGUGAUUAUAUGUAUGCAUAUGGGUAAGAAAGUGGCGUAGAAGCAAAAACCACAGAAUUUUUUGGGAGUGAUUAAAAGACAUUACGAUAAUUAAUUUCAUAUCCAUUCCAUACAAAUAGAGGGUAUAUUCCCUCUAAAACUCCCCCAUAUUCAUGUGCAAUCAAAAUCAUUUGGCAGAUAUUUUCAAAAUAAGGUUCUCAGUUCAACUCAAUAAAGGGUUGUAUAUUUUUUAUUAUAGAGUUUAAAAAAGUAUACAUAAUAAUUUAAAUUAUAUAAAUUUCUUCAGAGGUCAUUAGAGCUAGCAAAUGGGUAAUAAGAUGAAUGAACUACCUCAUGGUAAAUAAAACCAAUUACUGUUAUUAUUCCAAGAAAAAUAAUCAUUAAUAUCUAAAAUUACCUUGCCGAUAACCUAGACUUAAGAUAGAAUACUCUAUUUUCAAUUGACGUAGGUGACGGUGUAUUUGUAUCAUUAACAUUUCGUAAAGUAACAUUGUGAUGCACGCUGGUAUUCAGUAAUGUAAAUAACAUAGCACUUAAUUCGAGUUGUUGGGAAUAAGCUGAUGCUGAAGUUUGAUUUUGUGGACCCAUAGAGGGUGAAGUUUCAAAAAUAUAAACAUCACUCGAUGGUAUUUUUCUGAUAAUGUUAAUAACCUAAAAUCAUACGGCCUUCAUCGAGAAAAAGAACUACUAUAUUCAUUUUAAAUACCUACCAUAUCAAAAUUAUCGUUAGGCAUCAUUUUUUUAGGUAAAUUAUUAAAACUAUCAAAAUUCCAAUUCACUAAUUUAUUUUGUUCUUGAGAUAAUUUAGCCCAACUUAUACCUAUGGGGGACAAAUGUACACCUACUGCAGAUUGUAGAGGCAUGGACCACAACUACUGGAAUCUUUUGAAAUGUGGAUAUUUUGAAACUAUCCUGGAUGGAACACAUCACAAACAUGGAAGUUAAGCAGAGAGUAGGAAAAGAGAAGGAAGUCGUCUUUAUAGUAUUUAGACUACAUACUAAAACUUGACAAAUACCGCUGAUAGUAAGAAGAGACCAGGGAAAAAAUAGCAUUCAUGGUUGCAUAAUCUGUGCCAGUGGUUCGGAGCCUCAUCUAUUGAUCUAUUUAGAAACACAGUGAAUAAACAAGAUAAGAAUAGCCAAUGUUCCCAAUGGAUAAGGCAAUGAAAGAAGAAGCUGGUCUUGAGAAGGGGUAUUUUUUUAUUUUAAAAGUUGAAAAAAAUUUUUUCCUACAACUAGAUUUCCAUUAUUUACUAAGGAUAUAGAUAUAUGGCAGAUCCUAUGUGAAUCCUGUAGGGUAGGACCGGGCCCAAGAACUCCCAAGGCCUGCCCAGAGACCCAGCAAUGGCUAGAACCGUCUCAGUUAAAACUUAUAAAUUCUUAUCAAAAGUAAAUGUGACUAUAUUCUAGUUCAAUAUUUAAUGCUUUUAACUAUUCAUUUGAAUUGCUACUUACAUUUAAAAUUUGUCCGUUAAUAGGUGGAGUAAUAAUCUGUUUUUGUCGUUUAUUUUUUGAAUUAUUUUUAGUUAAUUCUGUAGAAUCAAGUAUAUUAUUAUCACAUUUUUCGUUUAUUAUAUCUUGACAUAUUCUGUGCAA